rnacentral:lncRNA from 1 species
GUAUGUCUUAAACUUUCUCUACUUUAGUUGGACAAGUGGAUAACCAAGAUAAGUUAGCAAUUUUUUCACUAUCAAAUCAACAAUCAGUCCUGGCAUAUCAUCAUAGGACCAUACAAACACGUCAUUAAAUUCGAACAGACAUUGGAUCAAUGCAUCUCUAGUUCUUUCAUUGGCGUGAAUGCUUAUCAUGGUUUCUCGUACCUUUAAUAGACUACCCAAAUCAAUGCAACUUCAUU